rnacentral:rRNA from 1 species
GAUGAACGCUGGCGGCGUGCCUAAUACAUGCAAGUCGAGCGAACAGACGAGGAGCUUGCUCCUCUGACGUUAGCGGCGGACGGGUGAGUAACACGUGGAUAACCUACCUAUAAGACUGGGAUAACUUCGGGAAACCGGAGCUAAUACCGGAUAAUAUAUUGAACCGCAUGGUUCAAUAGUGAAAGACGGUUUUGCUGUCACUUAUAGAUGGAUCCGCGCCGCAUUAGCUAGUUGGUAAGUUAACGGCUUACCAAGGCAACGAUGCGUAGCCGACCUGAGAGGGUGAUCGGCCACAAUGGAACUGAGACACGGUCCAGACUACUACGGGAGGCAGGAGUAGGGUAUCGUCCGCAAUGGGGGAAAGCCUGACGGAGCAACGCCGCGUGAGUGAUGAAGGUCUUCGGAUCGUAAAACUCUGUUAUUAGGGAAGAACAAAUGUGUAAGUAACUAUGCACGUCUUGACGGUACCUAAUCAGAAAGCCACGGCUAACUACGUG